ACUUGUGGCUGUGCUGGGCCCAUAGCUCCCAUUCAUGAUCUACUUUGGGAGCUAAGUGGACCCCAGAGAGGGCCUGGCCUAAGGACCUCCGGCACUUAGGAACAUCAGCCACUCAGGACCUGUAAGAAUUUUGGAUUUAACAUUCCCACCUCUGGCCUCUUGCAACUGAAGUCUAGAAUGGCAUCAUCUACCAGAACUUUGUGGAACGAUGAAAUGUCCUAUAAGCUAUGGGACCUGAUGUGGUGGUAGUAGCCUGACACAUACAGCUACCGAACACUUGGAAUGUGGGUGACAUGACUGAGGAGCUGAGUUUUAGUUAAUGAAGUGUCAAUUUUAAUAACUCUGCAUGGCCAGUGGCUAUGGUAGAGAGAGGGCAAAGGUCUAGGCCCUCAAAAUCAGACAGUCUGCUUGGCUGCUGUGGCCUCUUGCUUCACAUAGAAUGCCUGGUUCACAGGUGGUGGUGGGGCCAGGCUAGAGCAGAGCUACCCAUUUAGAUGCACAUCCUACCCACAAGCCAUCUACAGAUUCCGUGUGAUCCCUUUCAAGAUCCCAAUGUCAUUUUCUAGAGAAAUGGAAAAAUCCUUCUAAAAAUCGUAUGGAAUAUGAAAAGACCCAAAUAGCCAAAACAAUCUUAAAAGAGAACUAAGUUGGAGGACUCAAACCUGAUUUCAACUGUUUCAGGGACAGUCACCAAAGCAGCGAAGUGUUGGCAUGAAAACAGACACAAGGACCAGUGAGACAGAACAAAGAGCCUAGAAAUAAGCCCUGGCAUACACGGUCAAUUGACUUUCCACAGUGGUGCCAGAACAAAUCAGCAGGGAAGGACAGGCUCUUCAACAAAGGGCGCAGGAAGGCUGAAUGUGCCCAGGCAGAAGAAUGCAGCCCGACCCCCUACCUUGCAGCAGGUACAGCUAACUCACCAAGACAUUUCUCUGAAGAAGGUAGCAGCUGGCCUGGGAAACUUCUUCCUGCCCUGAACCAGCCUCAACAUCCUACACGACCCCUGAGGAUGGCUGUCCCUUGGUCUCCACCUGGGAGGCAGAAGGGCCUCUGCACCUUCAGCUGAGGACUACGUCUUCACAUCCCUUCUGGAGCCUUUCAUCCAGUCCCGAACCUGGCUUGUAAGUGGAAGGGACCUUGGGACAGUGGAGUCUCCAUGGAGCCCCAGCCACAAAAAUAACAGGCAGGGGAGCUGUCAGUCCACCAGGGGCUUGGCUGUUGUCCAGCAUGCAUGCCCAAGUAGUAUCACAGCAACGCCCCUACCUCUGACUUUUCUCUUGCUGAGGGUGUGUUUGCUAUUGCAUGCUCCAAAGGACAGAUGAUCCAAGAUGACCUGUGAUGUUGGGAACCCAGGCUGGGCUGUGGGCGAGUCCUCCAAAAGUACCCCCAUGAGGAAUUCAUCAUUAAAGACAGCAAUGCAUCCUCCUGGUGGCCCCCUGACAACACAGGCCAUUGUCAGUGUUGGGCUGAACUGGUCUCUGAAUUCCUAUACUGAAAUAUAACUCACACCACAGAGUGGGCCUGCACUUGGAAAUAGGGUCACAGCAGAUGUGAUGAGUCAAGAUGAAGUGAGGCCGCUACUGCAACUUCACUGGUGUCCUUAAUAAAAAUGAGACUUGGACGCAGACACACCCAGGAAGAAAGUCGCGUGAAGAUGCAGAGGACAAUGGUGUUUCUGCAAGCCAAGGAGUGCUGAGGAUGGCCAACCCCUACCGGGGCUGGGGAUAGGACUGGAAUAGACCCUCAGAGCCUCAGGAAGAGCAGUCUAUUCUUGGGCAUCUGGCCUCCAGAAGAUACAUGGGAGUGUUUGGCCCCUAGGCCAUGGGGAAGCAAGAACACAGCCCACUGGUAUUGACUGAAGAUAGAGCUGUCCAAGGCUGUGACGAGGGCCUGGGUCAGGUCUGUGAGUGGGAGACAGGGACGGCGCAGAAGUCCGAAGGGCACUAAUGAUGCUCACUAGGGGCUUAGUUAAAUGCCUGGAGGGCGCACAUCUUUCUCUGCCACCAAACCUUCCUCACCUUCACUGCUGUAACUCAAGACAGUCAGACAGACACCAUCUGUGCCAGGAGGCCUAUGUGACCUCUCUCUGCUCUUCAUACACCUGCCAAGGACACAGUGAAGGCUGUGGUGACAGCAAGCUGCAGGUGCUAGUGAAAGGACAGGUUCCCAAAAAGAAGGUGCUGAGCCUACAGGGGCCCAUCUUUCGGCUGCCAUUCCUCAGCCUUGGAGGUCCUGGGGGUCCAGUUUGUGUCCUUGUGGGUAGUAGGUGACAGCCCCAUGACUGGCUGGUGACAGUGUUACUACGUGGCUCUCUGAGGUCAGGCAUUCAGUACCCUUGGGAACUCAGCCUGUGAAAAUCAGAGUCCCAUCUUCCAGACCGGCAUUUCGGGGACAGAUGGAAAACAUGCAGAUGGGAGGACAGACCUCUGGAAAUGCUUCGCCAGCUGCCCCUCCCUGCCAUCCCCUUCCCUCCAAGCCUGGUGUGACACCUGGGGAGCCCCAGAUCUGGCCUAGAGAUGGAGCCGAGAAGAUGCAGCCAAGGAGGCCUGAGCAGGAUGAGAGUUGUGGGCUUCCAGGGCAACAGGGGUCUGGAGAGAAGGACACUUGCCUUGCUUGACAAGGAUAAAUUAUGGGCUGAACAAAGACGGCUCUGUUGAGAAUGCUGGCCCUGACCCAAGCAAGAUAUGAAAUUUGCCAGCUGGAAGCGAAGGCCCAGAAGGUGACCAGGAUCUGUCCUGAGUCCUAGAGUCAGUCUGGGGCUGGGAGUCCUGCAGCCCGCUCUGGCUGGCAGGAGCUGGGGUGACCUUGUCUCUGCCUCAGCUUCACCCUGGGGAGUGUGAGGAGGAAGCAGGCUGGGGAGUCUUGGUGUUGCCUGAUGCUCAGAAUGGGGGAGAUGCGGUGGAAAGGGUCUGGAUGGAGGCUGGAAGUACCCCGUCUGAGUCACCUGGGCUCGGGGUAUGUGUGGGGCCUGGGACCCCCUGGGGAAGGGAGGGAGCAGCCUGGACACUGGUUUGGGCAUUGCCUGGCUUCCUCUCUUCCCUCACCCCAUGAUAAGCCCUGUUGCUAGGAAGACACUGCCUGAUGGCACCGCCAAGAAGCUCCCUUUCCAAAGUCACCCCUGGGUCCUGGUUCUACCAGCUUCAGGAGCCUCCACCCAGGCCACUGUGUAGCGGAAGAAACCCCAAACUGUUAGGGGCUUCAACCACAGUGACAGGACACUUCUUACCCACAGGCGCCUGCCGGGGGUGGCAGCUGGGGCACCGGGACAUGCCUGCUCGUCUCCCUCUCUCUUGGCACCCUGCAGCCUUGUGUUCCUCUCUGCUGCUCCCUCCCCUUCCUUGGCUUGUAUUUGAGAUUGUGCUCAGCUCAAUUGCAAUUCCUCUCCUCUCCUCUUCCCUGCCCGCCAAGGCCAGGAGCUGGCCAGAGGCAAAGGGGAUGUCCAGGAACUGUGAGCCGACUCUUGGAGCAGAGGAUGAUGAGGCCAAGGGCCAGGGGGUGGUGCGGACUGAGGGGACCCUGGGGUCUCAGCUCUAGACUCCCAACUAUGCCUGAGAAACUGGGUGGUGAUCUCAUCUGGCCCAGCUACUUCACCCAUCUCCCCAGAGUGGGCAGUAGCUCUGGGUCCUGGGCCACAUCGUGUGAAGUGGCUCAUGUCCUAGGUGACCUCAUGUUUCUUGCUUGGUUAAGCAUGGCACUUGAGACUUUUUUGGGACCCUUCUGUCCUUUCUCAUGAAUGCCCGGUGCAAGCUCUUCUCCCACUUUGCCCAGAUCAGAGGCUCCAGGACCCUCCUAUCGUUGUGCAGCUGGAACUCCACACAGGUCCUCAGGUUCCCUGCCUUGGAUAGUAGGUCAGCACUUAGGGCAUUGUCCCUUGUGCUGCCCUGCCUUGAUUCAUAGUCAGUCAAGAAGUAGAGCUUUGAUGGAGGACUGCCUGGAAGAGGCAUCGGGCCUUUCUACCAGGACUCCCACAGACACCUCUCCAUGAGGUCGUGCCUGCUGGCCACGAUCCUGUGCGCACACAGAGCAGGUGGUCCCCAGCAGCAAGACCCUUGGCUGACUGGUGGAGUGGAAGCAAGGUGACUCUUGAUAAGCCUGGUGGGUCCUGAUCAGCACAAGACAAGACCCUCAAGCUCCCAGGUGAGCCAUUCUGGGUGGCUGACACUCAUGAGGGGUGUUACAUAAAUGCCGGAGAGCAUGCAACAUGGUUACUGCGUCCCUGCUGGCUUGUGGCUGCUAUGUGGGCCAUGGCCCUAACCUUCCCCAGUCGCACCUGGCAAGUGUGAGGGCCAGUUGGUGCCACCCCGUUAAUCAGCAUGUCUGCUCCACCUGCACUGGCUCUUUCCCUGCAACCCUACUUGUGGCUCCAGCUUUCCCUCAUGGCUUAAGCCUGCCUCGCUGCUCUCUUUGCAUCCUCAGAUGCGGGCUGGUCCUCUGUUCUCAGGAGCCUGAGUACAAACAGCUGAGGCUACCCCCCACCACAGUCCAGGGACCUGGACCUCAGGCUAAGGGCCAGCAGGGUCAGCAUCCCCAUGACCUUAGGUUGGACGCAGGAUCUCCUUCCAUCAGGUCUGCAUCCACUAGUCUCCUGGCUCUGCCCAAAGAGCUGGCUCUCGAACCCUGAGCACUGCACCCAACCCCCAGAUCCCCUGUCUGUACUCAAUAGUCUGGGAAAGUUCUUGGAUAGCUCAUGGAGUGUGGGAGACUCCUCCAUCACCACCCGAUUGUCUUCAGCUGUCUCUGCUAUUCUGCCAAUGCGAUAUUAG